rnacentral:rRNA from 1 species
AUACGUAGGUGACAAGCGUUAUCCGGAUUUACUGGGCGUAAAGGGCGUGUAGGCGGUCUUGCAAGUCAGAAGUGAAAUUCCUGAGCUCAACUCGGGCGCUGCUUCUGAAACUGCAGGACUUGAGUGCUGGAGGGGAUAGCGGAAUUCCUAGUGGAGCUGUAAAAUGCGCAGAUAUUAGGAAGAACACCGGUGGCGAAGGCGGCUAUCUGGACAGUAACUGACGCUGAGGCGCGAAAGCGUGGGGAGCAAACAGGAUUAGAUACCCUGGUAGUCCACGCGGUAAACGAUGAAUACUAGGUGUCAGCGCGCAAGGCGUGUUGGUGCCGUCGCAAACGCAUUAAGUAUUCCACCUGGGGAGUACGUUCGCAAGAAUGAAACUCAAAGGAAUUGGCGGGG